rnacentral:piRNA from 1 species
UGCUUGGAAAUGCUCUGGUUUCUUCUGGA